rnacentral:rRNA from 1 species
UACGAAGGGGGCUAGCGUUGCUCGGAAUCACUGGGCGUAAAGGGCGCGUAGGCGGCCAUUCAAGUCGGAGGUGAAAGCCCAGGGCUCAACCCUGGAAUUGCCUUCGAUACUGUUUGGCUAGAGACCGGAAGAGGUAAGUGGAACUGCGAGUGUAGAGGUGAAAUUCGUAGAUAUUCGCAAGAACACCAGUGGCGAAGGCGGCUCACUGGCCCGAUACUGACGCUGAGGUGCGAAAGCGUGGGGAGCAAACAGG